rnacentral:miRNA from 10 species
GCAGUGUUCUGGAAUCCUAUUAGAGGGACAAACAUUCAGACCCUCGUAGCAGUGUUCUGGAAUCCUAUGUGAGGGA